rnacentral:rRNA from 1 species
UGCAAGUCGUGCGAGAAAGUACCUUCGGGUGCGAGUAGAGCGGCGGACGGGUGAGUAACGCGUAGGAAUCUACCUAGUAGAAGGGGAUAGCCCGAGGAAACUCGGAUUAAUACCGUAUACCUCCUUAGGGAGAAAGAGGGCUUAGCUUUGAUGCUCUCGCUAUUAGAUGAGCCUGCGUAAGAUUAGCUUGUUGGUGAGGUAAUGGCUCACCAAGGCGACGAUCUUUAGCUGGUCUGAGAGGACGAUCAGCCACAUUGGGACUGAGACACGGCCCAGACUCCUACGGGAGGCAGCAGUGGGGAAUAUUGGACAAUGGGCGCAAGCCUGAUCCAGCCAUACCGCGUGUGUGAAGAAGGCUUUCGGGUUGUAAAGCACUUUAAGUAAGGAGAAAAAGAUUGUAGUUAAUACCUGCAAUCCUUGAUGUUACUUACAGAAUAAGGACCGGCUAAUUCCGUGCCAGCAGCCGCGGUAAUACGGGAGGUCCAAGCGUUAAUCGGAAUUACUGGGCGUAAGCGCGCGUAGGUGGUUUUUUAAGUUGGAUGUGAAAGCCCUGGGCUCAACCUAGGAACUGCAUCCAAAACUAGAUGACUAGAGUACGAAAGAGGGAAGUAGAAUUCACAGUGUAGCGGUGGAAUGCGUAGAUAUUGUGAAGAAUACCAAUGGCGAAGGCAGCUUCCUGGUUCUGUACUGACACUAAGGUGCGAAAGCGUGGGUAGCGAACAGGAUUAGAUACCCUGGUAGUCCACGCCGUAAACGAUGACAACUAGCUGUUGGGAGACAAGAUCUCUCAGUGGCGCAGCUAACGCUUUAAGUUGUCCGCCUGGGGAGUACGGCCGCAAGGCUAAAACUCAAAUGAAUUGAC